rnacentral:rRNA from 1 species
CCUACGGGUGGCUGCAGUGGGGAAUAUUCCGCAAUGGGGGCAACCCUGACGGAGCAAUACCGCGUGGGGGAGGACGGCCUUUGGGUUGUAAACCCCUUUUCUCAGGGAAGAACACAAUGACGGUACCUGAGGAAUCAGCCUCGGCUAACUCCGUGCCAGCAGCCGCGGUAAGACGGAGGAGGCAAGCGUUAUCCGGAAUCAUUGGGCGUAAAGCGUCCGCAGGUGGCCCAUCAAGUCUGCUGUUAAAGCCCAGGGCUCAACCCUGGAUCAGCAGU